rnacentral:tRNA from 1 species
GCGGAGAUGGCGGAACUGGCAUACGCGUACGCUUCAGGAGCGUAUGGGGUAACCCUUGAGGGUUCAACUCCCUCUCUCCGCACCA